GUGUUGGCUUGUCGAAGACCAUUAUUCAUGUAGCAUACAGAUGGUGGUUCAAAAAAAGCCUAUAGAAAUUUUUUGUUACGACGGUCACUGUAUGCCUUGUUUUACGGUAUUUCGGUAACUUUUACGUUCAAUGACAUUU